CGCGUAGGCGGUUUGUUAAGUCGGAUGUGAAAGCCCCGGGCUCAACCUGGGAAUUGCAUCCGAUACUGGCCGACUGGAGUGCGAGAGAGGGAGGUAGAAUUCCACGUGUAGCGGUGAAAUGCGUAGAUAUGUGGAGGAAUACCGGUGGCGAAGGCGGCCUCCUGGCUCGACACUGACGCUGAGGUGCGAAAGCGUGGGGAGCAAACA
rnacentral:rRNA from 1 species